rnacentral:precursor_RNA from 1 species
UGUUAGUAAUCAUUCUAACUUCGUAUAUUAUUACUAAGUUAGAAUUAUUACUGCGCU